rnacentral:rRNA from 1 species
UACGGAGGGGGCUAGCGUUGUUCGGAAUUACUGGGCGUAAAGCGCGCGUAGGCGGACCUGCAAGUCGGGGGUGAAAGCCCGAGGCUCAACCUCGGAACUGCCUUCGAUACUGCGGGUCUCGAGUCCGGGAGAGGUGAGUGGAAUUCCUAGUGUAGAGGUGAAAUUCGUAGAUAUUAGGAAGAACACCAGUGGCGAAGGCGGCUCACUGGCUCGGUACUGACGCUGAGGAGCGAAAGCGUGGGGAGCAAACAGG